rnacentral:rRNA from 1 species
UGGGCGUAAAGCGCACGCAGGCGGUCUGUUAAGCUAGAUGUGAAAGCCCCGCGCUCAACGGUGGGAGGGUCAUUUAGAACUGGCAGACUAGAGUCUUGGAGAGGGGAGUGGAAUUCCAGGUGUAGCGGUGAAAUGCGUAGAGAUCUGGAGGAACAUCAAUGGCGAAGGCAACUCCCUGGCCAAAGACUGACGCUCAUGUGCGAAAGUGUGGGUAGCGAACAGGAUUAGAUACCCUGGUAGUCCACGCCGUAAACGAUGGUUACUAGCUGUUUGGACCUUGUGUCUGAGUGGCUAAGCGAAAGUGAUAAGUAACCCACCUGGGGAGUACGUUCGCAAGAAUGAAACUCAAAGGAAUUGACGGGGGCCCGCACAAGCGGUGGAGCAUGUGGUUUAAUUCGAAGCAACGCGAAGAACCUUACCUACACUUGACAUCCAGAGAACUUUCUAGAGAUAGAUUGGUGCCUUCGGGAACUCUGAGACAGGUGCUGCAUGGCU